AACAUUAUAAUUAAAUAGCCGUAGACAGUAGGCUGCGAAAGCAUAAAUCCUAUCGAGGCAAAAAGUUCAUGAGCAAUUGAGCUUGUGAGUUUAUGAGAAUGUCUGCGGCUUAACGCAGAUUUUUAUUUAUGUUA
rfam:Candidatus Portnoybacteria bacterium RBG_13_40_8 RBG_13_scaffold_210, whole genome shotgun sequence.